AGAGUUUGAUCCUGGCUCAGGAUGAACGCUAGCUACAGGCUUAACACAUGCAAGUCGAGGGGCAGCAUGGUCUUAGCUUGCUAAGGCCGAUGGCGACCGGCGCACGGGUGAGUAACGCGUAUCCAACCUGCCUUACACUCUUGGACAGCCUUCUGAAAGGGAGAUUAAUACAAGAUGUUAUCAUGAGUAAGCAUUUUCGCAUGAUUAAAGGUUUACCGGUGUAAGAUGGGGAUGCGUUCCAUUAGAUAGUAGGCGGGGUAACGGCCCACCUAGUCUUCGAUGGAUAGGGGUUCUGAGAGGAAGGUCCCCCACAUUGGAACUGAGACACGGUCCAAACUCCUACGGGAGGCAGCAGUGAGGAAUAUUGGUCAAUGGACGAGAGUCUGAACCAGCCAAGUAGCGUGAAGGAUGACUGCCCUAUGGGUUGUAAACUUCUUUUAUACGGGAAUAAAGUGAGGCACGUGUGCCUUUUUGUAUGUACCGUAUGAAUAAGGAUCGGCUAACUCCGUGCCAGCAGCCGCGGUAAUACGGAGGAUCCGAGCGUUAUCCGGAUUUAUUGGGUUUAAAGGGAGCGUAGAUGGAUGUUUAAGUCAGUUGUGAAAGUUUGCGGCUCAACCGUAAAAUUGCAGUUGAUACUGGAUAUCUUGAGUGCAGUUGAGGCAGGCGGAAUUCGUGGUGUAGCGGUGAAAUGCUUAGAUAUCACGAAGAACUCCGAUUGCGAAGGCAGCUUACUAACCUGUAACUGACAUUGAUGCUCGAAAGUGUGGGUAUCAAACAGGAUUAGAUACCCUGGUAGUCCACACGGUAAACGAUGAAUACUCGCUGUUUGCGAUAUACAGCAAGCGGCCAAGCGAAAGCGUUAAGUAUUCCACCUGGGGAGUACGCCGGCAACGGUGAAACUCAAAGGAAUUGACGGGGGCCCGCACAAGCGGAGGAACAUGUGGUUUAA
rnacentral:rRNA from 1 species